GUGUGUGUGUGUGUACACACUUGGAAUGAUACCGGGAGGAUUAGUAUGGCCCCUGCACACAAAUUCAUGAAGUGCUCCAUAUUUUA
ensembl:snRNA U6 U6 spliceosomal RNA